AUACCUAUUAUUUUUAAUGUAUUUAUUUUAAUUUAGUAGUAUUAGUUAAGAUCUUUAAACUAAAAGAAUUUGGCGGUAUUUUAGUCUAUUUAGAGGAAUCUGUUUUGUAAUCGAUAAUCCGCGUUUUACCUUACUUUAAUUAUUUUCUUGAUAUCUCUGUUUAUUUGAAUAUAUUUUUAGGUUUUAUUUUCUUAAUAAUUUAUUGAUUAAUAUUUCAAGUCAAGGUGCAGUAUAUUAUUAAAGUUUAUAAAUGGAUUACAAU
rnacentral:rRNA from 1 species